rnacentral:rRNA from 1 species
CGUAAUCCGGGUUGCGGACAGUGUCUGGUGGGUAGUUUGACUGGGGCGGUCUCCUCCUAAAGAGUAACGGAGGAGCACGAAGGUUGGCUAAUCCUGGUCGGACAUCAGGAGGUUAGUGCAAUGGCAUAAGCCAGCUUGACUGCGAGCGUGACGGCGCGAGCAGGUGCGAAAGCAGGUCAUAGUGAUCCGGUGGUUCUGAAUGGAAGGGCCAUCGCUCAACGGAUAAAAGGUACUCCGGGGAUAACAGGCUGAUACCGCCCAAGAGUUCAUAUCGACGGCGGUGUUUGGCACCUCGAUGUCGGCUCAUCACAUCCUGGGGCUGAAGUAGGUCCCAAGGGUAUGGCUGUUCGCCAUUUAAAGUGGUACGCGAGCUGGGUUUAGAACGUCGUGAGACAGUUCGGUCCCUAUCUGCCGUGGGCGCUGGAGAAUUGAGGGGGGCUGCUCCUAGUACGAGAGGACCGGAGUGGACGCAUCACUGGUGUUCGGGUUGUCAUGCCAAUGGCACUGCCCGGUAGCUAAAUGCGGAAGAGAUAAGUGCUGAAAGCAUCUAAGCACGAAACUUGCCCCGAGAUGAGUUCUCCCUGACUCCUUGAGAGUCCUGAAGGAACGUUGAAGACGACGACGUUGAUAGGCCGGGUGUGUAAGCGCAGCGAUGCGUUGAGCUAACCGGUACUAAUGAACCGUGAGGCUUAACCUUACAACGCCGAAG